UCUGUUUCCAAAGGACACUAAAGAAUGAUGGAGCAGCAGGAAACAGACCAGGUCAGAUAGUAAACAGCUGAUUUAUUCAUCUGACUUGUAGAAUAACCUCAAUGAUUGAAUUGUUUUAAAUGUCUGGGAAUGUGGAGCAACUAAAUGCUAAAUGAAUGAAAUAAAACAAGGCCACAUGCUGAUUAUUUGUGACUUGAUUUGAUGGAUUUAUUCUUCCUGUUGUGUCUGUGUUUAAACUCCUAAUUAAAAGGUAAAGUUU